rnacentral:tRNA from 1 species
GCACUGGUGGCUCAGUGGUAGAAUUCCUGCCCUCCAUGUGGGAUACCCAGGUUUGAUUCCCAGCUAGUGCA